UACAUGGGGUGCAAACGUUGCUCGGAAUUAUUGGGCGUAAAGCGCGCGUAGGCGGUUACUUAAGUCGGAUGUGAAAGCCCUCGGCUUAACUGAGGAAGUGCACCCGAAACUGAGUAGCUAGAGUACGAAAGAGGGUCGCGGAAUUCCCGGUGUAGAGGUGAAAUUCGUAGAUAUCGGGAGGAACACCAGUGGCGAAGGCGAGUCCCUGGACAUCUCCUGACACUGAGGCACGAAAGCUAGGGGAGCAAACAGG
rnacentral:rRNA from 1 species